UGUGCGUUUGUGUGUGUUCGUCUCAACGUAGCACGAAAUAUGUCUCCUCUCAGCAAAGACGCACACACUAACGGGAGACGUGCUAGUUAACGGUUUUUUUGAUAUUGAAAGUUUUGUUUUGUCGACUUAAGAUUGUUUCGAUGUUAUACUCUGUAUAUUAAAACAUUCCGCUUGUAAAACGCAAUAUUUAUUGUCCAAGAGCUGCCGACUUCGUUUCUACUAAAGAGUGUCCGCUUCCCCUCCCUCGAUGAAGCGCUGCGAUGCCCUCUGAUUUUAUAUCCCUCCUUAGCUCGGAUCUCGACCUCAAUUCCCCCAAAUCUCUAUACUCGAAAGAGUCGGUAUAUGACCUCCUCCCCAAAGAGCUCCAGCUCCAUCCGUCGUCCACCCAGACAGACCCACCCACCAUGAGCCAGAAGAGUGGGGGAGAGGCGGGCCCUCCCCCCUCUGCAGCCUUGGCCUCAGAUGCCAUCUCCUCCACCUCCACCCCCUCAGCCUCUUCCUCCCUGACCAUGGGAGUUCCAUCCACUGGCUCUACUUCAUCCUCAGAGCAUCUUAAGAUUCCCCAGCAUCUCCACUCCACCGGAGGGGAUGGAGCUGGAGCUUCAGAGAUUCAAGGUAUGGACGGUGCUGUGUCUGCCCUCAGCAGAGGCAACAGUGGAGCAAACACUGCAACAGGAGACAUAGGGUCAGAAGUCUUGUCAGGGCUAGGAGUCCAGCAGCCUCAAAACACCCCAUCCAAACGGAGGCCUGUGUUGAGCAUAUCCCCGCCACCUGAGGAUCUAUUUGAUGACAGCCAGAUGUCUUGCCAAGAGGAGCCUGCCAUACCUGGUCCAACAGGUCCAGAUUCAGAGCAUAGCAGCAGCAUGUGGGCUGAUGACUCCGUCUCCAACUUCAGCUUGAUCAGUUCCGUCUCCUACAAUGACAACACAGAGGUGCCGCGCAAGUCGAGGAAACGCACCCCUCGCCAACGGCCUGGGCCCAAGCCUGCUCCUCCGGAGGACAGCAUGGAUGUGUUUGAUGCUGACAGCGCCAAGGGCCCUCACUUUGUCCUAUCCCAGCUGGGCACAGACAAGACCAGUCCCAUAGCAAGCUCUCUUGAGUCAGGAACUGCAGUGAAGGGUGGGACACUGUCUUCUCAGUUCCCCCAGAGGAGUGAUGGGAAAGAGCUAAAGAUCUUGGUGCAGCCAGAGACCCAGCACAGAGCUCGCUAUCUGACCGAGGGCAGCAGAGGUUCUGUAAAAGACCGCACGCAACAGGGAUUCCCCACUGUCAAGUUGGAAGGCGUGAGUGAACCAGUUGUGCUGCAGGUGUUUGUUGCGAAUGAUGCAGGCAGAGUAAAGCCUCAUGGUUUCUACCAGGCAUGCAGAGUGACAGGGCGCAACACCACUGCUUGCAAGGAGGUGGACAUAGAGGGCACCACUGUCAUUGAGAUCCCUCUGGAGCCGAGCAAUGACAUGACACUGGCGGUGGACCGUGUAGGAAUUUUGAAGCUGCGUAAUGCAGAUGUGGAGGCCCGUAUAGGUGUGGCAGGGUCCAAGAAGAAGAGCACACGUGCCAGGCUGGCCUUCAGAGUCAACAUCCCCCAACCUGAUGGUUCAGCCCUUACUCUACAGGUCGCUUCAUCACCCAUCCUCUGCACCCAGCCAGCAGGAGUGCCAGAGAUCCUGAAGAAGAGUCUUCACAGCUGCUCAGUGAGAGGAGGAGAAGAAGUUUUUAUCAUCGGGAAGAACUUUCUCAAAGGAACCAAAGUUAUUUUUCAGGAGAAUAUUGCAGAUGACAAUUCCUGGCACGCUGAGGCAAAGAUUGACAUGGACCUUUUCCAUCAGAACCAUUUGAUAGUGACAGUCCCUCCGUUCCACAACCAGUCAGUCACUUCUCCCAUUUCUGUGGGAAUAUUCGUGAUGACCAAUGCUGGUAGAUCACAUGAUGCCCAGCCCUUCACCUACACUCCAGACUCAGCUGAUAACUCAAAUGUCCAGACAGUAAAAACAGAGGGACCCUCUCUGGUCAAGACAUGUGUAUUUGAUGGCCAGAUCAAAUCUGUAUCUCCUGAGCAAACGGACAGCUCUGCUCCGCCUUCCAAACGGCAAGAGGACACACCAAUGGAAGUGUCUAGCAAUCCAUCACAGACUGAUGUCUUUAAGCCGUCCCCUGAGCCUCUUGUUGCGGUGCAGCAGACGUUGGAGGUCUGCUCUAGUCCUCAUCCCGGUGGAGAUUCCUUUCAGAGCCCAAUGCCUCUACAACCUGAAGAUGUGGAGCUUCCCCAGGCGCACCCUGUCUUUCCCAGCCUAGAGUCUCUCAGCACCAUACAAAAGCAAGACAUUGCCCCCACAACCUCCUUCCCAGUGCCAGGUGAUACUACAAUCCCCCCUGUGACACCAGAGGUCCCUCAACAAUUCCUCAGAGACCCUCAGGACAGCACACCUCCUGAGAGCUCCAAUAAUAGUGGAGGGGUCGUAGCUGUGGCCAUGUCCCAGAUAGCGACUCCCUCUCAGCCCCAACCACAACAGUCACAGGUUCCCCUGUUCCCCCAGGAAGGGGUGGCCCAGCUGGAGAGGGCAGUUAGGGAGCUACAGGCUGGAGGUAGCACCACGUUUCAACAGGUGUUGGAGGCGGCUGUAGCCCAGCAGCAGCUGAACUCAGUGCUAUACAGCCCCUCCCCCUCUGCAGACUCCCUUCAGCAGCACGUCCAGGAGAACAUGAAUAGCCUUAGAUUGGGAACCACAGAUAAUUCAUUAUCAACCCAGCAACAGCUACAGAUCCAACAGCAACAACAGAUCCAACAGCAACAACAGAUCCAACAGCAACAACAGAUCCAACAGCAACAACAGAUCCAACAGCAACAACAGAUCCAACAGCAACAACAGAUCCAACAGCAACAUCAGAUACAACAACAACAGCAGAUACAACAACAACAACAACAACAACAGCAGAUACAACAACAACAACAGCAACAGUUUCAACAGCAUCAACAACUGCAGCAACAACAGCAAAUCCUUGGUACCCUCCAGCAGCAUCAACAACAGCAUCAACAACAGCAGCAACACUUGCAGCAGCAAGUUCCUGGCAACAUGCAGAUCCAACAACAACUUAUGUUACAGCCACACGACCAGCAGCAACUGCAGCAACAGCAAAUCAUGGAGAAUAUUCAACAGCAACAACAGUUGCAACAAAAUCAGCAACAGCAAGUCCUUAACAACAUCCAACUUCAGGAUCAGCAACAACAAAAUCAAAUACUGAACAAUUUACAGCAACAUCAGCUACAGCAGCAACAACAACAGCAACAGCAAAAUCAAAAUCAAGUGUUGAGCAACUUACAACUGCAAGAGCAGCAGGUGUUGGAGAAUCUACAGCAGUGCCUUCAGGCUGAGUUGCUUCAGCCCCAGAUCCACUCCUCCCCCCAAGGACAGCAGCCAGUGUCCAUCCUUCAACAGGCUGGAGAGCUGCUCACCAUUCAGACCAGCUUCCCAACACAGCCCCCAUCCCACACAUCUCCCCCACAGCAGCUCUUUCAAUCGCCCAGGCCCUUGGCUGAGACUCAGGGCUCUCAACAGCAGGUCCAGGCUGCCCUGCUCCAGAAUACGCUGACUGUUCUGACAAGUGGCAGUCUCAACUCAGAGCAGCAGCCUACUGGUUCAACACUAUACCUGUCCCCAAACCCUCAGCCCCACCAACAGCAACAACAGCUGGCAUUCAUCUCCUCCAUGGAGACAUCCAACAGCCAGCCCCGGUCUGUUGCUAUGUUUCAGAACCAACCCCAAGCUCAGCUUUCCCAAAUGCAGCAACAGAGCACCCCAAUGGAGCAACAGCAGUCUCCACAGCAGAACCAACAACAGCCAACGCAGCUUUCAAUGGGCCAGCAGGGCUCCUUGUUUCAAAGUAUCCCAAACCACUCACAGCCUAACCCUGUCCCCCAGAACCAGCUUUCCCAACCCCAGCAGACAGGUCUCCUCCUCUGCACCACAGAUCUUAAUCCCCAGGCUAUUCCCCCAACUAUUCUAUUUAGCACCCAGACCCAAGGCCCUUCCCCUCUGGGGAACAUUAGCGUUGGAAUCCCCCAGCCAGACACAGCAGAGCCCAUGUCCUUCCAAGACCAGAGCUCCUCAGGCAGCAACUCUACAUCCACUGAGAACCAACAGCAGAGCCUGUACCAGGAACAGCAGCCAAUGCAAGUGGGCCUGAGUUCCAGCAGCAUCCCGAGCAGUCAACCUGUGGAGCUGUUCUUGCCACAGACAUCUCUGUCCAGUCUGCAGAGCAGUAUUGGCUCACAAGACCUGAACAACCAGGCUCCCGCCCCUGGCACAACCAUCUUUGUGGUACAGGGUGGUGUGGGUGUGGUAGCCAACCCUGGCCAGCAGCCCCCAGAGCAGCUUUUCCAGACAACUGUGGGUGGGAAUGUGGCUCCACAAGGACAGGCCAACCUGUUUGUGUUUGGCAUCCAGAAUGACGCGCCCCAGCUCCUCAACUCCUCUGGACCCACGCUGCAAGCUCAGGGCCAGCCCCAGAACUCCAGUCACAUGCAGCCUCUGUUGGACCAGCCUAUGGCCCAAGCUUCCUCCACCAUGCACAGCAAUUUACAGAACACCCUUCAGGCACAAAUGCAGUCCAGCUUAGAGAACGCCAUGCAGAGCAGUCUACAGAAUGCAAUGCAGACAAACACGCAAACAGCUCUGCAGUCCACUUUACAGGCAACCAUAGAAACAAGCCUGCCAACUCCAAUGCAGACCAAUCUACAGACACAGAUACAGAGCAGCUUACAGAAUCAAUUGCAGGCAUCAAUAUCUGCUUCGUCCAACAUGGAUAAAAUUGAGGACCUAUUGGAAAGCCUACAGAAGCAGUGAUAAAUUUUAGGACUAUUUGGGAACUAAGGAGAGUGAGUAAUAUGUAGCUGAGAGUUGUACAUUCUUACAUAAAUUAACAGAACGGUGGUGUGUGGUGUUUUUUUGCCAAUGCCACAAAACUUAGAAAAAAUUGAAUAUUUAAGAAUUAAAUGCCCCUUUUACCUAAAACCCCAAUUAUGAGCUCAUGUAACUCCGCUUUUAUAGAAUAGUUAUAGCCUUCAUACAUCCAUUGUCCUUGAAUCAAAUAAUUCACCUUUGUUAUUACCCCUCUUGCAGGUACAGAGAGGCCUGUAAUAACUGCUUUAUCCAUCAGUCUCAGAAAUGCAGUGUUUACUUGUUAGUGUUUUAAUAAUCUGAGCCUAAGAGAUGAUGAUGAGAAAAAAAACUACCAGGUGUGGUGAAAAACUGGAAAGGGAUACAGAAUGUCAGCGACAGGGAAAUAGGGGAAUACGUAUGUGAUGGAGAUGAGUCUUUAAGAGCAGGCAGCGCAGAUAAACCAGCCAGUCAUGGAGUGAAUAUCAGAUUGCACAGAAGUGUCAGAUAUAGGCUGAAUCUCAUUUGUGUGAGUGUGUAAACUCCAAGCCUUCCUUUCAGUGUUUUUGUCCAUCAUGUGGAAAUCGGGGCUAUUACCUGGCAUAAAAACAGGGAUGAAAUGUCACCACUCAAUUUAAAGUAUUGACAUGGAUAAUGUAAGAUGUUUUUUUAAAUUAAUUAAACAAUGUGUUUGCAUAUGUCAACAAUUUGACUAAAAUCUACUCUAAGAGUAAAGACUAUUAAAUUAAGUACAUUUGUAGAAUGUUUUACCUUAAUAUUUGCUGGCCUGACUGGAGUAGGCACCUGAGCAGACCGUCGGGAGGAGGAGAAUUUAAAUAUUGAUCAACUUCACAAACAUUAACUCACUCACCAAAAUGGGUAUAAAUACAUUCUGGUAUUGCAGAAAGAGGAGGGACUCUUAAUCACUCGCAAAUGAGAUUCACCCUGGUGAAUAAUGUGACUUGGCCUUUUGUUUUGGCACCGCCCAGUGUUUUCGUAGGUUUAGGCCUCAUUAAUGGGUUUGCAAAAGCUUUCUUGCUUACAUUUAAAGAAGCAUUCAAUUAUGUAGUGUGUGUGUGUGUGUGUGUAUUUCUUGUGUUUUGUUUUUUUUGUUAAAUUUCAUGCAUCUCAAAUGGCACUUUGACUCAUCCAUUAACUGUAGAUCAGGUUAGAGCGCAGUAGUGAUGUUUCCAAGCAUUCCAUUCCUCUUGGGGAGUUUAAGAGCACAUGAUGUUGCGGAACAGUAAUGCCUCUGAAAGCCAUACCAACACAGAAAGCCAACCUGUGACUUCAGUUUCAUGAAUGUAAAUGUUACCUCAUGGUGUGGACAUAGAGCUUGCUCUACAUCUAACAUCGGACCAAUUACAGUUGUAGAGAAACAUAUUUUGAGGCACAGAGGGUGGGUGGGGUGGCAGCAGCAACUGUCAUUUGUAUUACUGUACAUUUGUCAGAUUGUUUUGUCUUGGAUUUUGGUGUAAUUUCAUGUUUCUUCACAUCCAGUUUAAUUUUGAGCAAUCCAGGAUGCUCAGUCUGACUCUUCGAAUAGCCACUUUCACCUGAAAAACCGUGAAACAUUAAUUUACUGGUGGUGGAGAUAGCACACAAAUCUUAACAAAAUAUCAGUUUGGUCCUUAAGUCAUGUAAAUGAAUAUCCAUGUAUAUUAAAUGUGAAAUAUACUGCAGGGGUAUCUCUAACUUCAAUAGUGAUGCUUUCAACAGAACUUUGUGUGCCUUGAUAACUUAACUGUUACUCUGCUGUGUUUCCCUUUUGUGUCAUUGCUAUUUGGCUCCUUUUGUCCUUUUUAUUCUCUAGGACUGUUUAACAUCAGGACACUUUUCAGUGAUUUUAUUUUUAUUUCUAAACAAGCAUAACCAUAGCCCAUACAGACAAGAUUUGUUUAAGUUUGAACAUUUUCUCUUUGGAAAUCCAUUGCAGGAUAUCAGAUCGAGUACUCGCAACAUAAUAUUGUGCAACUUCACCAGUGAAUUGUCAACUUGUUUGUGACUUUCUGUUGAAAAUGUUUUCAUGCCUUGUGAGAUUUGUACAUGUGAGGUAAAAGGGACGAGACAAUGGAGAUUGUUUUAUGGAGAGCUUUCUUGUGUUGAUGUGCUUGUCAACAUUACUAUUGUUGCUGUGAAAUUCUUGAUCAAAAGGAGCAACCAUGAUAAAUUAACUGUUAAUUGCCAAUAGUGUGAGCUGUAUCUUGUGUGUAAUCAGUUUGCUCACUUUACCUAGUUCGCUUUCUAUUUCACAUUCUCCAACAGUUCUGUUGUAUCCGUUCUGUGUAGCUUGAGCUUUAGUAUCUAGCCUUAAGAUCCUGCAGCCAGGAUAAAGGUCAACCCCAGUGUGUUAUCAUACAUCUGAACUAUUAUUAACAUGUACCUUGCCUUGGUCUGGACAUUUGUAUACUCUUCUGUUUAUAUCUGUAAUCCUGCUGCUACAUUAAAAAAAAAUUAA